CCCUGUUUCUAUUGGAUGCUUUGGGUGGAAAUCCCGCCUUAUAGAUUUUAGAGGACGGGGUGACUACAAUUGAAUUGCAAUAGCUGUUGGAUAUCUCUAGAGGGCGACUUGUACUUUCUUUCCUGAGUGAAACGUGAGAGUAAGUAGCAUAAAUCUGUGGUUAUGAAGGCCUGAACUUCUUAGAUUUUAAUUACCACCCGUAAUCACACCUUUAAAACCCACCGAAUUAAAGCACAACAACAUCUAUCUGGAAUAUUAUACCUCACUUUAUCUUUUCACAGCAGUUUCUACAGAACAUGCACAUUGCCACUGGCCUAAAGGAAGCUGUUACAUCUGCUCAGUGUGGUGCAAAAAUACAGUAAAUGGCCUGAAGGAGGCACUAGAUGGAAAUAACUGGACCAAUGAAAAUGAUUCAGGACCAACCUGUCCUGUCCCUGGAGUAGCAGAUUAACAUACACGGCUAUCAGUUUUUUUCAUGUGCAGGAAAAAGCAGCAAAAUCAAGAUGGGUGACCAGUGACAGUGUGGGAAGUCCAGCACUGGAAGAUGUUUGGAAAAAGCUAAGUCAUUUUCAGGCGCUGGUGGGACAAUGAGGUUCUCUGAUGAAAAGAAAUUUCAAACAAACAUAAUUUAUUUGAAAUAGAAAUACAAUCCUGUAAAACUUCUGCAAAUGCAACUACUUCUCUAGAUUCUGAACUACCCAAUAUUAAAAAUAAAACAGAAACUGACUGA